ensembl:lncRNA
CUGGUGCCUAAAUCCUGCCUUCAACCUUUACUGAUGGAGUACUUCACUUUCCAGUAGAGCACACUACAACAAUAGCCUUAUUCUGUUCCCACAUCGUCCCCAAAGUCUGUACAGAACCAGGUCGUAAGGAAGUAGAAUGUGGAGCCAUAUAUGGUGGUGGCUGAAUAUCCUCAUUCUCUGGAGGUCAGCUCCCACAGAUUAAAAUGAAUUCAAAAUCAACUCAAGUUUUAUGAAGAUGUAGAGAGAUGAUGAAUGGACAGCAACUGUUUGAACAACUUACUUCACCUUUCAAAGAAAUGCCUGUGUCACAUACACCCUGGCAGGAUGUAAGAUGGUUACAGGAUUUGAAUGGGAUGUUACUAAGAUGAUGGAUAAUAAUACCUUGUUGUUUUGUGCAAUGGCUUUGAUCCAUCAUCAGUAACCCCCCAUGCAAUGAACUGCACAUGUAAUUGCUGGUGGAAGAGCCUGGCUCCAAAGAGCAGUGCAGUGGUGUUGACCAGGAUAACGAGUAGUUCUGACAACCAUCUGUUUACUCCUUGGUUGUUUUGAAAUCAUGCC